rnacentral:rRNA from 1 species
UACGUAGGGUGCAAGCGUUGCCCGGAUUUAUUGGGCGUAAAGGGCGCGUAGGCGGCUCUGCACGUUCGUUGUGAAAUCGCCCGGCUCAACUGGGCGGGGUCAGCGGAUACGGCAGAGCUUGAGCAAGCUAGGGGGCAAUGGAAUUCCCGGUGUAGUGGUGGAAUGCGUAGAUAUCGGGAGGAACACCAAUUGCGAAGGCAGCUCGCUGGGACGUCGACUGACGCUGAGACGCGAAAGCGUGGGGAGCAACAGG